CGUGGUUAUUUGCGGCAAGGCAAGACUCAAAGAAGCCAAAGAGCAAGAAGAGCCCAAGGAAAGGAUGGUUUCUCAAGAAAUGGAAACAAAACGCACAUUAGACUGCAUCACCAACCAAAGUUCAAGCAUGGGCUUGACUGAGGCCCGUUGAACAUAUGUAACAGAAUUGUAGCUUGGUUCCCAACAGUGAACUUGGAGGUUCUA